UAAGGUCAAAUGAACUAAGGCGUACGGUGGAGACCUAGGCACUCAGAGACGAAGAAGGGCGCAGAUACCGGCGAUACGCUUCGGGGAGCUGGCAACAAGCUUUGAUCCGAAGAUUCCCGAAUAGGGCAACCUCAUAGAACUACCUAUAUAAUUCAUAGUUAGGUAAGAGGCAACCCAGUGAACUGAAACAUCUAAGUAGCUGGAGGAAAAGAAAGCAAACGCGAUUCCCGUAGUAGCGGCGAGCGAACCGGGAAAUGGCCUAAACCUACAUCGCAAGAUGUAGGGGUCGUGGGAGGACAGUAAAAAAUAAAAAUUUUUAAUACGAAGCAGCUGAAUCCUGCACCAUAGAUGGUGAAAGUCCAGUAGUAAAAAGAAAAUUUGAUUUUUGUCUAAUCCCGAGUAGCAUGGGGCACGUGAAAUCCCGUGUGAAUCAGCGAGGACCACCUCGUAAGGCUAAAUACUCCUGAGUGACCGAUAGCGAAAUAGUACCACGAGGGAACGGUGAAAAGAACCCCUGUUGGGGAGUGAAAUAGAACAUGAAACCGUAUGCUGACAAGCAGUGGGAGCAAGAAUGCUUGUGACCGCGUGCCUGUUGAAGAAUGAGCCGGCGACUUAUAGGAAGUGGCUGGGUUAAGGAGUAAAAUCCGGAGCCCAAGCGAAAGCGAGUCUGAAUAGGGCUAUUAUUAGGUCACUUCUUAUGGACCCGAACCCGGGUGAUCUAUUCAUGGCCAGGAUGAAGCUUGGGUAACACCAAGUGGAGGUCCGAACCGACCGAUGUUGAAAAAUCGGCGGAUGAGCUGUGAAUAGGGGUGAAAUACCAAUCGAACUCGGAGCUAGCUGGAUCUCCCCGAAAUGCGUUGAGGCGCAGCGGUAACGAUGAACUAUCUCGGGGUAAAGCUACUGUUUCGAUGCGGGCUGCGAAAGUGGUACCAAGUCGUGGCAAACUCAGAAUACAAGAUAUGUCUUCCGUGAACCAGUGAGACUGUGGGGGAUAAGCUUCAUUGUCAAGAGGGAAACAGCCCAGAUCACCAGCUAAGGCCCCUAAAUGGUUACUAAGUGGAAAAGGAUGUGAGAAUGCUGAAACAACCAGGAGGUUUGCUUAGAAGCAGCCACCCUUCAAAGAGUGCGUAAUAGCUCACUGGUAAAGCGUUCUUGCGCCGAUAAUGGCCGGGACUAAGUGACCUGCCGAAGCUGUGAUAUAUUUUAUUUAUAAUAAAUUAUAGGUAGGGGAGCGUUCUGCUUUCGGGUGAAGUUUUCACGUAAGUGGGGAUGGACGAAGCGGAAGUGAGAAUGUCGGCUUGAGUAACGAAAACAUUGGUGAGAAUCCAAUGCCCCGAAAACCUAAGGGUUCCUCCACUAGGUUCGUCCAUGGGGGGUGAGUCAGGACCUAAGACUAGGCCGAAAGGCGUCGUCGAUGGAAAACAGGUUAAUAUUCCUGUACUAAUUAAAUUAUGAUCUGAGGGACGAAGGAGGCUAAACUAGAACUGUUUUUGGAUUGCAGUGGAAGCGUUUAGACGUUGAGAGAUAGCAAAAAAGCUAUUUUGAGUGGAGGCGUAAUCCCUAUUUAAUGGUUCGCUGUUGAGUAGCUAGUGAUGUCAUACUUCCAAGAAAAGCUCAUACAUCUUUAUAUUUUAAUUACCUGUACCUGAAACCGACACAGGUAGGUUGGUAGAGAAUACCAAGGGGCGCGAGAGAACUCUCUCUAAGGAACUCGGCAAACUGGCCCCGUAACUUCGGAAGAAGGGGCGCCCAAAAUUAAUUUUUUGGGUCGCAGUGACCCGGCCCAGGCGACUGUUUACCAAAAACACAGGUCUCCGCAAAGUCGUAAGACAAUAUAUGGGGGCUGACGCCUGCCCAGUGCCGGAAGGUUAAGGAAGUUGGUUAUUUCGCAAGAAAAAAGCUGACGACCGAAGCCCCGGUGAACGGCGGUCGUAACUAUAACGAUCCUAAGGUUUGCGUUCGCUAGCCUUAGUAAAACUAAACUAUAUGCUGGAAACUCCUCAUUUGCGAAUAGCACGCAUCGCACUAAACGCAAAUUUCAACAGCAAUGUGAAAACAGCUACAACGUACUCGUUGGUUAGUUGGCUCAAUAAUUCAUCUUUCUUAAGAAAGAAGCAUAACAACCUUCAGUGAAAAUCGUUGAGACAUGGGGACAAUCAGCAGGGAAGGCCCAGUAAAGGAAUGGGAACCCUCAGAGACUAUACGUUUGGGAAUUUUUUUAUAAACAACAUAAUUAACUUAAAACAAUAUCAACUAUGACAACACAUUUAGAAACUCAAUGGAUCGUCGGCUUCGUUGAUGGCGAAGGUUGUUUUAACCUAGAUGUCCACAUUAAAAAUGUUUAUGCAAAAAUUUAAGAUAGAGUCCAGCUUUUAUCGAAAGAUUCAAGGUUAUCUGAGCGAAAUUCAUUGUCGAGUAAGUUUCGACCUGCACGAAAGGCGUAACGAUCUGGGCGCUGUCUCGGAGAGAGGCUCGGUGAAAUAGACUUGUCCCGUGAAGAUGCGGACUACCUACACCUGGACAGAAAGACCCUAUGAAGCUUGACUGUAUCUUGGAAUUGGGUUUGGGCUUUUCUUGCGCAGCCUAGGUGGGAGGCUAUGAAGAUUACCUUCCGGGGUAGUUGGAGCCGUCAUUGAGAGACCACUCUGGAAGAGCUAGAAUCCUAAUGGGGAUCCUUGAAUCGGGACCCUUGACAGUUUCAGGUGGGCAGUUUAUUUGGGGCGAAUGCCUCCUAAAAGGUAACGGAGGCGUGCAAAGGUUCCCUCAGUCUGGACGGAAAUCAGACAUUGAGUGUAAAGGCAAAAGGGAGCUUGACUGCAAGACCUACAAGUCGAGCAGGGGCGAAAGCCGGCCUUAGUGAUCCGACGGUGCCGAGUGGAAGGGCCGUCGCUCAACGGAUAAAAGUUACUCUAGGGAUAAACUCGUUGUCCCAUUUGAGCGAAAGCUCAAACAUAGAGUUUUAAACCGAGUGAAUUGCAAGAAUGCUAAAACAAUAUUUUAUGUGUGUGUAAACUUGCAGCGUAACUGUUUUUGAGUUACAAUUUGAAUAAGCAUAAAAUUGUACGCUAAAUAACGCUCUGAUGCUUAUUUUUUCUUAUAAUAAGAAACACAAGGAGGUUAUGUUGGAAAAUCAGGACGUUCAACGACUAGAAGGUGAUGUAAACUCACAAAUAAUCCUUCCACGAGUUCUCGGGGGCUUAAUAGUACAUGAUGAAAAACUACUAGUGCAACGUGAAAGCUUACUUAAAAGCGGGAAUUACAGGGGAAAUACUAAAAAGCUUAAAGCUUAUAAAGCAGGACUUCCUAAGCUAAGCCCAGUGCAAAUUGAAGUUUGUGUUGGAUUGCUUUUAGGUGACACUACUUUACAAGCAAGUCACAGCUACCUGCUCCUCGUAAACCUGGCAGUCGUUACAAGCCUAGUUAGUAAACUAACUCACAUGUUAAGUCCAUGACAUAGUCUGAACUUUUACUAUAAGUAAAAGAAAAGGCUUUUAAACAAAGCCUUGUUAACAUAUUUGAACAGGCUGAUCUUCCCCAAGAGUUCACAUCGACGGGAAGGUUUGGCACCUCGAUGUCGGCUCAUCACAUCCUCGGUCUGUAGUAGGUCCGAAGGGUUGGGCUGUUCGCCCAUUAAAGUGGUACGUGAGCUGGGUUCAAAACGUCGUGAGACAGUUUGGUCCAUAUCCGGUGUAGGCGUUAGAGCAUUGAGAGUAGCCUUUCAUAGUACGAGAGGACCUGAAAGGACAUGCCAAUUGUGUACCAGUUCUCAUUCCAAUGGGAAACGCUGGGUAGCUACGCAUGGAUAGAUAACUGCUGAAAGCAUCUAAGUAGGAAGCUAAACUCAAGAUGAGUGCUCUCUAAGGCCGCGGCUAGACAAGCCGUUAUAUAGGUAUCAGGUGUACAGUCAGCAAUGGCUUCAGCCGAGAUAUACUAAAGGCCGUUUGAUUUUGACCUU
rnacentral:rRNA from 1 species